GUUAUCAAGGGUGAACUCCUAUAACUGCCUUAGAAUGGAGUCCCAGACAGUCCCCUUGGGUUCUCCAAUCUGUCCUGCCACCCAGGUGAGCCUGUCUUUGUGCUAGAUGGUCCCUUACACCAAGAAUUGCAGCAAUAGGCAGAUUCCUGCCAAGGACCAGUCACUUACCCCAGGUCAGUUGCACCUCAGAUCUCACAGCAAAGAGCCAAUCAUAUAAUAAACUCCACACCACAUUAUCGGUAGGAAAAAGGAGGAUGAGCAUUACCUACAAGGUUAACGUGGGCAAACGUACGUACACCAAUGAGUUACACACUUCCGUUUCAAACGGUGAGAGCAACUCUAACCAGCACACUCUGUAUGGCCUUUAGGGCUAAGCCAGGCAAAGCAGCCUGGCCCCCAAAGCUGCAGCAAUGGGGGACAGUGUCUCUAUUCUCUUCCCCUCCUUCUGCCCUGAGCUGCAAACUCAGCGAGUGGGAGGAACGCACCAGCUAGGCUCAGCUGUGUGGGGAGAGUGACAACAAAAUAUUUUGUCCUAUUUCUGGCCAGUGUCACUGGGCUUGCCAUGGUGAGCAGGACAGAACAACCUCUACUGGCAUCCAGCAGGUCACACCGGUCACCAUCUCUCUCCUGGCUGCGAAGUCACACGCUCAGAAUGCACCACCUUAGCCAUCACCGCACCACACAGGAUGCAGCUGCUGUAAACACAAUCCCAGUGCUACAUACACAAUGGUGGGGUCUAAAUUAGCUGUUACCACUAAAGAGAAAGAUCAUGGAGUCACUGUGGCGAGUUCUCUGAAAAUAUCCACUCAAUGUGCAGCAGCAGCCAAAAAAGCAAACAGAAUGUUGGGAAUCAUUA